AGAGUUUGAUCAUGGCUCAGAACGAACGUUGGCGGCGUGGAUUAGGCAUGCAAGUCGAACGGGGUUGGGGGCAACUCCAACCUAGUGGCGAACGGGUGAGUAACGCGUGGGAAACCUGCCCUUGAGAUGGGGAUAACACUUCUAACGAGGUGCUAAUACCGAAUAAGACCACGAAGUCGCAUGGCUUCGCGGUCAAAGAUGGCCUCUGCUUGCAAGCUAUCACUUAAGGAUGGUCCCGCGUCCCAUUAGCUAGUUGGCGGGGUAACAGCCCACCAAGGCGACGAUGGGUAGCUGGUCUGAGAGGAUGAUCCGCCACACUGGGACUGAGACACGGCCCAGACUCCUACGGGAGGUAGCAGUGGGGAAUUUUGGACAAUGGGGGCAACCCUGAUCCAGCCAUUCCGCGUGAGUGAAGAAGGCCUUCGGGUUGUAAAGCUCUUUCAGCAGGAACGAAACGGUAGAGGCUAAUACUCUCUGCUAAUGACGGUACCUGCAGAAGAAGCACCGGCUAACUCCGUGCCAGCAGCCGCGGUAAUACGGGGGGAGCGAACGUUGUUCGGAAUUACUGGGCGUAAAGGGCGCGUAGGCGGCUUCAUAAGUGAGAUGUGAAAGCUCCUGGCUCAACCAGGGAAAUGCGUCUCAUACUGUGAGGCUUGAGUGCAGGAGAGGAUGGGGGAAUUCCCGGUGUAGCGGUGAAAUGCAUUGAUAUCGGGAGGAACACCAGUGGCGAAGGCGCCCAUCUGGCCUGCUACUGACGCUGAGGCGCGAAAGCUGGGGGAGCAAACAGGAUUAGAUACCCUGGUAGUCCCAGCUGUAAACGGUGGGCACUAGGUGUGGGGGGGCAUCGACCCCUCCCGUGCGCAGCUACGCAUAGUGCCCCGCCUGGGGAGUACGACCGCAAGU
rnacentral:rRNA from 1 species